GAUGAACGCUGGCGGCGUGCCUAAUACAUGCAAGUCGAGCGAACAGAUGAGGAGCUUGCUCCUCUGACGUUAGCGGCGGACGGGUGAGUAACACGUGGAUAACCUACCUAUAAGACUGGGAUAACUUCGGGAAACCGGAGCUAAUACCGGAUAAUAUAUUGAACCGCAUGGUUCAAUAGUGAAAGACGGUUUUGCUGUCACUUAUAGAUGGAUCCGCGCCGCAUUAGCUAGUUGGUAAGGUAACGGCUUACCAAGGCGACGAUGCGUAGCCGACCUGAGAGGGUGAUCGGCCACACUGGAACUGAGACACGGUCCAGACUCCUACGGGAGGCAGCAGUAGGGAAUCUUCCGCAAAGGGCGAAAGCCUGACGGAGCAACGCCGCGUGAGUGAUGAAGGUCUUCGGAUCGUAAAACUCUGUUAUUAGGGAAGAACAAAUGUAUAAGUAACUAUGCACGUCUUGACGGUACCUAAUCAGAAAGCCACGGCUAACUACGUG
rnacentral:rRNA from 1 species